GGGGAAUAUUGGACAAUGGGGGAAACCCUGAUCCAGCCAUGCCGCGUGUGUGAAGAAGGUCUUCGGAUUGUAAAGCACUUUAAGUUGGGAGGAAGGGCUUACGGCUAAUACCCGUUAAGUUUUGACGUUACCAACAGAAUAAGCACCGGCUAACUUCGUGCCAGCAGCCGCGGUAAUACGAAGGGUGCAAGCGUUAAUCGGAAUUACUGGGCGUAAAGCGCGCGUAGGUGGUUCGUCAAGUUGGAAGUGAAAGCCCUGGGCUCAACCUAGGAAUUGCUUGCAAAACUGGCGGGCUAGAGUACGGUAGAGGGUAGUGGAAUUUCCUGUGUAGCGGUGAAAUGCGUAGAUAUAGGAAGGAACAUCAGUGGCGAAGGCGACUAUCUAGACUGAUACUGACACUGAGGUGCGAAAGCGUGGGGAGCAAAC
rnacentral:rRNA from 1 species